rnacentral:rRNA from 1 species
UACAGAGGUCUCGAGCGUUAGGCGGAAUCACUGGGCUUAAAGCGUGUGUAGGCGGAUCGGUAAGUACCUUGUGAAAUCCCACAGCUUAACUGUGGAACUGCUUGGUAUACUGCCAGUCUUGAGCCACUUAGGGGCUACCGGAACAAAUGGUGGAGCGGUGAAAUGCGUAGAUAUCAUUUGGAACGCCAAUGGUGAAAACAGGUAGCUGGGAGUGUGCUGACGCUGAGACGCGAAAGCGUGGGGAGCGAACAGG